GCUGUCAGCACAGAACCCCACGCGGGGCUCGAACCCACGAACCGUGAGGUCACGACCUGAGCUGAAGUCGGGCGCUUAACCGACUGAGCCAGCCAGGCACCCCCUCAUCUUCUUUAUCUGUUGAGGGCAAACCUGGUCCAGCUGAGAGCUCCUUCACGGAAGGGAGAAGCUGAACAGAUGUUCAACACAGCGGACAAAUGUUCGGCAAGACCUGCCUCUGCUGCCAAAGAGUAAACUGAGCAUUACCCAGAAUCUAAACCAGCAGAAAGCGGAGAUGAUUGGAGUGCCUUUUUCCCUGCGCUCGGCUAUUACGAGUCGCAAACAGUGAGUAAAGGUGGCGAUUUUAGGGACGGAUGUUAAAUGCGUGCCCGCUCGCACACACACGCGCGUGCACGCACACACAGAGCCCACUCCCAGGCAGGUAUCAGAUUCUCGGAGGUGCCGCUUGUGCCUCCGCAGCUCCGGGUCCAUAGACGCUUCUCUGCUAAAAAGGAUGCUGGGCUCACGGAUGGAUUCUCUUCUGAGAUCAUCUGAUCCUAAGAAUCGCCCAUAACUCCAGAGGAAGCCCAAGCCCCUCUCUGAGGUGUGCUGACUCGGGGAGUCUGGGGAGGGGGCUAUAAACCCGUAACUUCAGCACGGACGCUUGACGGCUUGGGGGACCCCGUGGGCGGCGCGGCCCGACGCGCACCCCUCUGUCUGCGGGGGAGAGGACGCGGCCCAGGGAGAUGCGGGGACCGGUCCCAGCUCGCGCGGCUCACAGCAGAGCUGGGGCUGUGGUGUCUGAUUCCAUGCUUCUCUCUUCGGCUCUAGGUGUUUUGAAAUAUCCCUCAGGGGACACGCCGACCGACCCAGCUCGGCCACAGCGACUCCCAGGGCACUUCACAACCGGGGUGCGGGUGGAGAUGUUAACGGCGUCACACAUGCCUGCUCACGUCCCCGAGACAGAGAUGUGUGCGGAAUCCAGGGCCUGAAGGCAGCUCGAAGACCUGGGGGGUCCUGAAGUGCUUUCUGAAGCGAAGAUCGGAGUUCGCCGAAUAGUCCUAUGCCCAGUGCACCCGAUGGGCUGGAAACCUGGCGACCUGCACUGUACUUCUCGAGACAGUUCCCACAGCCAGGAACUUACCGAAUGAACAAAAGCUACAUCCUGGGACAAUAAAGUCAGGAGAGCAAGAAGCUAGCACCAAAAAAACGGGAAGGCAGGAAAAGGGCAGAGGCAGAGAGGCCGCGGGCUGUGCCCCCAGAGGCAGGCAACCGACAAGAGACCUGGGUUCCAGAAUGUGACCGACAGGGCGCGACUGCUCUGUGGUGCUGUCCCGAGACCCUGGCUGGCACUAUCAGCUUUUGCAGGGGACACGUCCCAACUCCAGACAGCUGGACUCACCUGGGCUGUAAGAAUAAGCUCGUUGAUGACGUGUGCUGCGUGCUGACACCGAUCUGGGGGCCCCAUGACUUGUGCGGCUCUCUCCGGACUAACACCGUCGUCUGCCGAACAAAGGGAGAGACUGGGUCAGAAAAAGCCCAAAUGAAACUUGGAAACAAAGGCUUUACUUGACCAAAUGGAAAGUUGGAAACGCCACGAGGGCCCAGAGAAAGCUGGACUGGUAUUUUGGUAAUAGAAUAGGGGAGGGGGGCACGGAGAGAACACACACAUGAGCCAAGUACAGAGUCCUUGUCUCGUUAAGCGCGUUUAUGAUGCUUCGCGGCACGAAGGGUUUUUGAGAGUCAUCAAAACCAACCUGGCUUGAACUGAAUCCUCACCCCGGCAUCAUUCUGAAUCUUUUUGAUCAUCUCCCCAUUUCUUCCUAUCACAAUCCCAACAGCAAACCUCGGCACAGACACCUGAGAGCACAGGGAAACAGAACCUGAUCACCGCUGUCUGCAAAUCGGUUGUUUCUUAAAGGGCACAUUAAAAAAGGAAAAAAGACAAAGAAAAGAAAGAACAGA